AAAAAAAAUGGCGCCAAAUCAAAAAGUAUUUCCCCAUUUUUUUCCCCAAUAUCCAUCGAAAUAUUUCCCCCAAAAUAUUUUUCUCUCUCAUUUUCCCGCAAAAUUAGGGUACCAUAGACCAUUGAUAGGCUACUCUCUACUCCGGUGUCUCCGGUUGUUGGCCGUUGCCUUCUGUUUCGGCUAUUGCCUUCUACUAUAGCUCCCAGAUGACUUUGGGUGGGAUAAGCGGUUGAAAGUGGCAACCCAACUCGCAGAUCUCUUCUCAUGGUUGCACAUGAAUGGGAUUGCAGUUGGCAGCGUUACUACUGCAUGAAUUAAACAUAAAAGUAUUCGAUUUUGGAUACGUAUCAAAUCAUGUGAAUGAAGAUACAAAAAUUUCUGCUCUAGUUCGUGUUGGCCUGGAAGCUCUAGAGAUUUUCAGUGAUUUCUGUGCUUAUACCAAAAUAUCUUUGAUAAAUUCAUGCUAUAGAUUAAGUUUUUCUUAUAGUUCUCUCUGUAUUGCAUGAUGCUGGAUACUUUUAAAACUAUGGUAGAAGACCUUUAUAAUUAAGAUAAACAUAAAAUAGUUACCAAAAAAAAAAAGUCCCUAGCCGGUCGCAUAGAUACUUUUAAAACUAUGGUAGAAGACCUUUAUAAUUAAGAUAAACAUAAAAUAGUUACCAAAAAAAAAAAGUCCCUAGCCGGUCGCAUAACAAGUUAUAUAUAUAUAUAUAUAUAUAUAUAUAUGUUGCAAGCUUGCUACAUAUUAUUAUUUUAUGCACCAGCUUGACGGAAGUGUUAGAAUCACCUUAAUAUUCUAGAAUACAUAGGUGAUAGAUGAGUGUAAAGAAGGAGGUCAGAAGGGAUGCUAACUGUAGAUUUCUUUCCAGAUGGAGGGAGGGUGAAAGGUGCGUGAGGUGGUUAAUGGUGGCGCGUAUGGUCUAAAGCUGAUGAAGAAGGUAGAGCAAUAAGGGGCUUGGAUUGGAUGUUGGAAGAAAGGUGAUACAAAGAAAGAAUAUUGGUAGCCACCAUAGCUACCAAUAGAAGCAAGUUGAGACCCAUAGUGAACCCCAUUUUUUGGAAAGAUUUUCUUGGUUGCUGAUACACUUUAAAGAGUGUAAAAGAUGAAGAAAAGCAUAAAGUUUUGUCCCGAUUACAAUUUUAUGUGUCAUUAUGACUCUUGAUCUUCUAUCCUCUGUCUAUCGUCCAUUCAGAAAUAUAGGUUAUCUGAGUUUAUUUGAUCUCUCUGCCCACACAUAUAUAUUGAUAAAUACUGUCUGGUUCUCAUAUUCGUUUUUUUAACAGCAUAGAUAAAUUCUAAUCUUUAUGAUAAGUUCUCUGUGAAGUAUUACCCUAUGCUUCUCUGGGGCCCUCCCAAGAAGUUUGUUGGUAAUGGGUGGGAUCCAAAACAAGAAAAUAGUGAAAUACUCGCCAUUGAAAAGGGACGCACAACUGAUAUCCUUCUAGGUUGGAUCAACAAAUAAUUGGGAAGGUGUAUGUAAUCCCCUUGAUUGUUUUUUUGCUUAUUGGUGAACUCAUGUCCUAAAAUUAGUUGUCUUAUGAUGUUAAAAGCUCUUAUGCUGACUGUGUCGUGUAGUAGCUACUGUCACAAAGUAAUAAUUUUGAGAAUAAAUCAUGUAUCUAUCCCAGUAAUUCAUUGAGCUGCAUUCUUUUGGGUCUUUGGGAUCUAGGGAAGUUAAGUUAGAUCUGUUGUUACAGAUAGAAUAUGCUGCAUUCUUUUGGGUCUUUGGGAUCUAGGGAAGUUAAGUUAGAUCUGUUGUUACAGAUAGAAUAUGCUAUCUUAAGCUAUUGUGGUUGUUAAGAAAGCUCAAGUGACUAAACUUAAUCAUUUUAAAGUCAUGAAUGGUUGCAUUGACAUAAUAGAAAUAUUUUGUCUAUUAAGAAGGGUUCCUUAAAUACAUGACACAGAGAUAACUAUAAAAAUGUUGUGUAAGACUGAUAAGUUACUUUUGUUUUUUAAGGAUAAAAGGUCCUUAUAAAAAGUAAAAAAUUGUUUUAAAAGUAUAAAAGUCAGUUCCAUGUGGCUUUCAGUUAUUGUUGUACCAGCUGUAAAAUAUAUAUAAUGUUGGAAAAUGGAUGUUGUUUUCGACUACCACAAAAAGGAAUGUGGACGGCGGAUAUAGAUGAGGUAUUUUGGUAAAUAUCACAUUGAGCUCGUGUGGACUUUAUGAAUUAUAUACUGCAUAUAGAAGUGUUCUGACAUGGAUAAAAUUCUCUGUUGUUUGGUCUUCUCUCAGGAUCUUAAACUCACUAAAAAGAAUCAAACCGAUAUAGUAUUUGGCUGAUUUGUAUCCUAAAUGUUAGUCACCCCAUAGGUUGAUGUCAUAUGGGACUUGAUUUGAACUUUGUAAUUCGAGGACAACCAUUUGUUUUGCGUGUAUCAAUUUUCACAUCUGCGUCUUACACAAGUUCUAUUCUUAAUAAGCUAUUGCAAACUCUCAGCUCAUAUGGCUUCGAUGAUGGAAAGUAUGAGAAUGAGCAUCUCCAUAGGAACUCUUUGGAUCCUGCCCAGGUUACUAGGAGAGCAUAUGGUUUUCUUCUGAUUCUAGUUUUGCAAAUUUAAGCUGUCCAUUUUGUGUCUCUCGCUUCUGUAAAUUUUUUCUUAUGAAGAUUGCCAUAGGUAUAUAUGACGUUGAGGGGGCAACUUCUACUGCCUUUGGCAUCAUUCUAGACCAAAAAGUAAAAAAUGCUCUCUCUCUUUCUCUCAUGGUUAACUUUUGUCUACAUUACUUAGUUUCAGUGGCAUUGGUGUCCUCAAUAUGCAGAUAUUAACUCCGGGACUCGGACUUCACUUAUAAAAUUCCUUCAACUUUUGGUGGCUCACCAGAAUGGUUUGAAACAAACAACAUACCUAGUGUAAUCCCACAAGUGCGGUCUAGGAAUGCCAAGUGAUACAGCUAGUGGACCCAUUUUGCCCAUGGAUGCAAGGAGGCCACGUGAUGAUAGUGAACCUAAUGACAGUCGUUGAUUUCGUUAGUGCGGCCAAUGGAUUUCUUUUUUGAUGAUGCAUGUAAUUGUAUGAUUGGUGCGAAUCUUAAAAUAUUGAAGAUUUUGUGUUUAUAUUUGAUUUUGGAAUUUGAACAUACUAUUUAAUGUUAAAAAUUGGAGUUUGAAUAUGCUAA